CUGGUCUCUAACUCGACCUCAGGUGAUCCGCCUCCGGAAGUGCUGGAAUGACCUGUUUUUCUUCUUAAUUUGAAAGUGGUUUAAAUGCAAAGCGCCUUUUGUGAGCAGGUAGGAAACAAGAGAGCUUGCUGUUUUUCAUCUUUUUUGGCGCAUUCUCUGAAUGAAGACACCUGAGUCCUUCCCAGUUUUUCGCUGUUACCGCGGACGCCCCGCUGGCUGCCUGAAGUUGAGAAAGAUAUUCAUGACUUUGAGUUUCAGUGGCAAGAAGAUGAAAGAAAUGCCCAUGGAGCACCCAUGACAAAAAUAAAAAAGUUGGCCGGUAGUACAGACUGAUAUGAUCAAAGGUUUGCUGGAAACAAGCCUAUUAAAGACCAGCUGGGAUCAAGCUUUUAUUCACAUUGGUCUGAACUCCACAUAUUUCAGACCGAAGGGAAAAUUGAUUGCUGUUAUCAUAGGAUUAAACCCACCCUCAAUAAUUCUUACAAUGACGCUGGUGAUUCUCAUCUGUGUCCAGCACGGAACGUCAAGGAAAUUUCUUUCAUCUUGAGAACUGAGAUCAGCCUGUGAUCCACAGGGAGGUGAGGGGAUUGUGCUCUGCAUGGGGUUUGGUUAGGGCCAGAUCUGUGCCCUGAAGAUCUGUGCCCUGCUGCAGCGUGUGUGUGUGGACUUUUCCAGGAGGGAGCAAGAUCUGAA